rnacentral:rRNA from 1 species
GCGCGAAAACUGUGCAAUGCGCGCAAGCGCGACACGGGAAGCCUGAGUGCCUUAACUAUGUUAAGGCUUUUCUUGAUCCUAAAAAGCUCAAGGAAUAAGAGCUGGGUAAGACGGGUGCCAGCCGCCGCGGUAACACCCGCGGCUCGAGUGGUAGUCACUUUUAUUGAGCCUAAAGCGUUUGUAGCCGGAUUUGUAAAUCUCUAGGAAAAUACUUCUGCUUAACUGAAGAAAUUUUGGAGAGACUGCAAAUCUAGGGACCGGGUGAGGUUGAAUGUACUUCUGGGGUAGGGGUAAAAUCCUGUAAUCCUGGAAGGACGACCGGUGGCGAAGGCGUUCAACUAGAACGGAUCCGACGGUGAGGAACGAAGGCUAGGGGAGCAAACCGG